rnacentral:lncRNA from 1 species
GCUGUGACAACACGUUGGUGUUUGAAGCAAGGUUUGAGAGUGGUAAUCUACAGAAGGUAGUCAAAGUUGCAGAUUAUGAAUACGAGUUGACUGUGCGCCCAGACCUCUUCACAAAUAAGCACACUCAGUGGUACUAUUUCCAAGUCACUAAUACCCGAGCAGAAAUAGUCUACAGAUUCACUAUUGUCAACUUUACCAAGCCUGCUAGUCUUUACAAUCGGGGUAUGAGGCCACUGUUCUAUUCUGAAAAAGAAGCCAAAACCCAUAAAAUUGGCUGGCAGAGAAUAGGAGACCAGAUCAAGUAUUAUAAAAAUAACCUUGGGCAAGAUGGGCGUCAUUUUUUUUCCCUUACAUGGACAUUUCAGUUUCCACACAGCAAGGACACUUGCUACUUUGCUCACUGCUAUCCAUACACUUAC